rnacentral:tRNA from 1 species
GCAAUUGUGUCUGAUUAUUCAAACUGCUGAAAGUGCCUUAACGUCGCAUUCGUAAUGCGAAGGUUGUAAGUUUGAUUCCUAUUAUUGCACCA